rnacentral:rRNA from 1 species
UACGAAGGGUGCAAGCGUUACUCGGAAUUACUGGGCGUAAAGGGUGCGUAGGUGGUCGUUUAAGUCCGUUGUGAAAUCCCUGGGCUCAACCUGGGAAUGGCAGUGGAUACUGGACGGCUAGAAUGCGGUAGAGGGUAGUGGAAUUCCCGGUGUAGCAGUGAAAUGCGUAGAUAUCAAGUGGAACACCAGUGGCGAAGGCGAGUCUCUGGACAUUUCCUGACGCUGAGGCACGAAAGCCAGGGGAGCAAACGGG